rnacentral:rRNA from 1 species
CAAUAGCGUAUAUUAAAGUUGUUGCAGUUAAAAAGCUCGUAGUUGGAUUUGUGGUUCGUCCCGCCGGCUGGGUCAUUGACUUUUGCUGUGCUGGUCGUCCAUCCUUGGGUGGAAUCUGUGUGGCAUUAGGUUGUCGCGCAGGGGAUGCCCAUCGUUUCCUGUGAAAAAAUUAGAGUGUUCAAAGCAGGCUUAUGCCGUUGAAUAUAUUAGCAUGGAAUAAUGAUAUAGGACCUUGGUACUAUUUUGUUGGUUUGCGCACUGAGGUAAUGAUUAAUAGGGACAGUUGGGGGUAUUCGUAUUCCAUUGUAAGAGGUGAAAUUCUUGGAUUUUUGGAAGACGAACUACUGCGAAAGCAUUUACCAAGGAUGUUUUCAUUAA